AAUUUUGCAUACACUUUAUUCUUUCAGUUUUAGAUCAUAUUUGUUGGAUUUCACGAAAUCUAUUGUUAUUGUAAUAAAUUGAGGAAAGUAUCUAGUACCUCAUGAAGUAUGACAAAAUUUGCUACGACAUACUCUAACUUCAGGUAGGUCCUAUUACCUUUCUGAACUAAAUUUUAGUAUAUUUUUAUCAAACUUUUUUAGUUGACGUAACAUCUUUGACGUGAAUCCUAUUUUAUGUAAUAAAAGUGCUACAUCAGCCUAACAGGGUGACAAAAUAUACUAAAAUUUGAGUUUAAAAAGAUAAUAAAUCACCUAUUAAAAUGUAUCGUAACAAAGUUGAUCAUAGUUUGAGAGUACACAAUUCUUAUUAUCUCUUAAUAAAUUUAUAUAUUGUGGUCUAAAAUGAUACACACGUAGAAAGUUGAUGUCUUUUUCAUUAUUUAUUGUUUUUCUAUUGCAUUAUUAUUAUUAUAUCACUCUCCUUUGCCUCUUUCUUUCCACAAAACUUUAGCUUCUAAAGAAAGCUUUAGCUUCUAAAACUCUUCUUCUUCCUUUUCUGUUUAUGUAAGUUUUAGCUUUGUUUUGUUGACAACAAAAAUCCAUAAGAAGUUUUUGCUAGACAAGGAGGCUGAAGAGAAAUAGACGAUGGACGUAUUAGUGAUUUCAUUGCCUUUGGUUAUAUUGGUAUUAGUAGUAGCCAUUGUGUGUUUUAUGUGUGGAAAAUGCUGUUGAUUAUUCACUCUAAAAAAAAAAAAAGGUGAAUUUAGAAUUUUAAAUUAGUAGGUUCCUGGUAUGUAAUAAUAAUUAAAAAAAUAAUUUUAAAUUUGUGGAUUUUUGGUAUGUAAUAAUGAUAAAAAAGACAAUCCUCAUCAGGGAUCGUUUCCAUGUUUAUGGGGUAACAUAAGCAAUAUGAGGGUCCUUUUUACGCUA